rnacentral:misc_RNA from 1 species
GAUGAAAACGUAGCGAAAUGCGAUAAGUAAUGUGAAUUGCAGAAUUCAGUGAAUCAUCGAAUCUUUGAACGCAUCUUGCGCUCCUUGGUAUUCUGAGGAGCAUGCCUGUUUGAGUGUCAUUAAAUUCUCAACUACACUGACUUUGAAUUGGUGUGGCUUGGAUUUGGGGGGAAAAUUGUUGUGGGCUUUUUGUAUAGUCUGCUCCCCUGAAAUUGAUUAGCGGUACCUUUGUGGAACUGUCUACAGGUGUGAUAAUUAUCUACAUCUUAGACAUCUGCUGGAAUGCUGCUUUCUAAACCUUACUUGUAUUGACAAUCUUGACCUCAAAUCAGGUAGGACUACCCGCUGAACUUAAGCAUAUCAAUAAGCGGAGGA